ensembl:lncRNA
AGAGAGAUGGGGAGACAGGAGAGAGAGAGAUGUAGAGAGAUGGGGAGACAGGAGAGAGAGAGAGAGAUGUAGAGAGAUGGGGAGACAGGAGAGAGAGAGAGAGAUGUAGAGAGAUGGGGAGACAGGAGAGAGAGAGAGAGAUGUAGAGAUGGGGAGACAGGAGAGAGAGAGAGAGAUGUAGAGAUGGGGAGACAGGAGAGAGAGAGAGAUGUAGAGAGAUGGGGAGACAGGAGAGAGAGAGAGAUACAGGAGAGAGAGAGAGAGAUGUAGAGAGAUGGGGAGACAG